GGUCCCCGUAGCUCAGGUGGAUAGAGCGACUGCCUCCUAAGCAGUAGGCCCCAGGNNNNNNNNNNAGUCCGUGGAUAAAGCCGCCCGAGCACCGAGAGCGGCGAGGCGCCGGGCCGGCAUGUGGUUGUAGAUUCGCAUCUUGUUGCGGUGAAUGUGUUUGCAUGUUCGACAGCCCGGAUUCCCGCUGAUUGACUCCCGCGGCUCUCGAUUUCAGCCGCGAGCCCGGCGGCGGUCU
rnacentral:tRNA from 1 species